UACAGAGGGGGCCAGCGUUAUUCGGAAUUAUUGGGCGUAAAGGGCGCGUAGGCGGCCAUGCGUGUCUUCCGUGAAAUCCCUCGGCUUAACUGAGGACGUGCGGAAGAAGCUGCAAGGCUUGAGUCCGGGAGAGGGGGGUGGAAUUCCCAGUGUAGCGGUGAAAUGCGUAGAUAUUGGGAGGAACACCGGUGGCGAAGGCGGCCCCCUGGACCGGUACUGACGCUGAGGCGCGAAAGCGUGGGUAGCAAACGGG
rnacentral:rRNA from 1 species